AUGAACGCUGGCGGCGUGCCUAAUACAUGCAAGUCGAGCGAACGGACGAGAAGCUUGCUUUUCUGAUGUUAGCGGCGGACGGGUGAGUAACACGUGGAUAACCUACCUAUAAGACUGGGAUAACUUCGGGAAACCGGAGCUAAUACCGGAUAAUAUUUUGAACCGCAUGGUUCAAAAGUGAAAGACGGUCUUGCUGUCACUUAUAGAUGGAUCCGCGCUGCAUUAGCUAGUUGGUAAGGUAACGGCUUACCAAGGCAACGAUGCAUAGCCGACCUGAGAGGGUGAUCGGCCACACUGAGACUGAGACACGGUCCAGACUCCUACGGGAGGCGGCAGUAGGGAAUCUUCCGCAAUGGGCGAAAGCCUGACGGAGCAACGCCGCGUGAGUGAUGAAGGUCUUCGGAUCGUAAAACUCUGUUAUUAGGGAAGAACAUAUGUGUAAGUAACUGUGCACAUCUUGACGGUACCUAAUCAGAAAGCCACGGCUAACUACGUG
rnacentral:rRNA from 1 species